AAAGAGGUUCACCUAGGUAGCAAGCAACCAACCUUUGUACCUUGAAUUGAAGAAAUGGAAACUGCUCUGACGGCGGAAGGGACUAGAGCAUGCCAGCGACAGGAGAAUGAUUGGAGGUAUUGUUUUUACUAUUCCAAGGGGAUUUGAUCAGGGCUGGGAGUACUGAGGAGUCAAAGCUCGAGCAGAUGAACUAAGAGGAGUCAAAGGGAUUGUAGCUCGAGCAGACGGACUGAGAGGAGUCGAAGGGGUCGUGGCUUGAGCAGACGGACCGAGAAGAGUCGAAAGGAUUGUGGCUCGAGCAGACGGACCGAGAGGAGGAGUCGAAGGGGUCGUGGCUUGAGCAGACGGACCGAGAAGAGUCAAAAGGAUUGUGGCUCGAGCAGACGGACUGAGAGGAGUCGAAGGGAUUGUGGCUCGAACUCUUCCAGGUGACCCUAUAUGGCCCAUUUGUCCCUGGAUGUGUGCUAUAUACACUCACGGUAAGGGUGUGGAGGAGUCCACGCUCAAAGCAUUUGAGCACCAUACUGAAGCAGACAAAUCAGCCUCCUUCACCGGCCUUCAUAGUCCCUAAGUGAAGUGGGAAGUGCGGCCUGGGAUCGAGGCUAGUCACCCCAUUGCUCUCUACAACCUGGGAGGACACGUCUACUUUGCUGGUAAAGGAGUGGAGCAGAGUUUCGAGAAAGCAUCUGAGAGUUCCAACAAGCAGCAGAUAUUGGAUUUGCACCAGCUCAGGUUUACCUUGGCAACAUGUACUACAAUGUUACCCAUGGACAAAGCCAAGGCUAAGGAAUUGUACAAACUGGCAGCUGACAGAGAUAAGAAUGCAAAGGCACUGCUCAAAGAAAUUGAGGCAAAAGAGAAGGAGGAAACAGUUAGGGGGCAAACAAAGGGGGGGAAAGAAGAAGAGGAAGAAAAAGAAAAGAGGUUCACCUAGGCAAUAAGCAACCCU